ACUGACUGGCCCCCAAGCCCGGGGCGUCUGAGAAACCUCCUGCGAACGGCUACAGAGGAAAUUUUCAUGUGUGAGAGAUCUGCAGAAAGUUCUGGAACCCGCACCUGGACCAGUUUGGACCCUCAGUGGAAACACGUCAAAGAGAAGGAAAACCAGCUGGGGAAGGGAUCCCGGCCAGCAGCAGCUCAGAGUGCUGGGCGGAGGCCCCGUUUUUCACCGACCGACGGCUGGGAGAGCCGUGCCACCCACUGUGCCCUGAGACGCGCACAGGACGGCGACUCACAGAUGCCUUUUGCUGCCCUGCCUGGGUCCUGCCACAGCGCGAGGUGCAUCAGGCCAGGCAGCCACGCAAAGGCCCCCGCUCCUGGCUUCUGCCAUUUUUCUGUCCUGCAACUCUACCCUGGAGCCUCCCACCCCUUCAAAAGCUGCAGGAAGAGGCCUGCAGGCAAGAGAAGAGGACUGCAGGAGUGAGCAAUUUAAGAAACGGAAGGUCGAGGUUUUCCAAUCUAAUUAACAGCAUGACAAGCCAGGAUGGGCUGCUGACCCGCAUGGAGCCUUGCACAGCCAGAAACGCGGUGUCCUGCUCCGCUCCUGAGACGCCAGGGCCGUCACUGCAACACAGCCCCAACACUUCCACACGGGCGGACUCUGGCUCUCCAGGCACUGCAGCGCCCUCUCCUCCCCUUCCCAGCUCUCCUGAGGCCUGUGGUUCUGGAUCUCUGCUCCGUGCAAGCAUGCCUGUGGCCCCCUCCCGUGUCCAGUCGCACCAGGCCCUGGGAUCCCGGAUCUGGCUUCCCCUUUGCAAGUGGUUCAAAGCAAGCACCUGUGGGGGUGGGGGCAGCAAAGCCGUCUGGCCAAGGUCCCUUCCUCUAGAGUGCCUGUCUGUCCGUCUGUCCUUGAGGAGCCUGAGGAGUGCAGGGCAGGACAGGCAGGCACCAGCUGACCCGGUACUGGGCAGGGACCAGUGCAGGACCUUGAGGCAGGGCUUGGUGGGGUGGGGGUGGCCAGAGUCUCCUGGCUCGGAGCAGAUGCGGGUGAGUGGCACAGACUGUCCUCACACCCUCCUGGGACAAAGGCAGGAAUCCAUGACCAGGACAGACACACUCAGGAUGGGAGAGGCAGAGCAGGUGCCUGAGCUUGGCCACGCACAGCUUCCAACGAGGCUGGGCCGUCCACAGCUCCCCAAGGUUACCCGCCACUGUUCACCCCACCCCAGCACAGCCGAGAGCCGUGGUUUCUCCUCCCAUGGAGUCCCACGUGGGCUGCCCACUCCAGGCCCAGCCCGAGGGCACCGCCUUCUCCAGGCUGCCUUCCCCGCACACGCCACACCUCCAGCCCCAGAAGGUUCUGAGGAGGGGAGGAGCUGGGGCCCCCACUCGCCCUCCUGUUGCCAGGAUACAGGCCCAGGAAAAAAUGCCACAGUGCUGGAUUAAUGUCUAGACAACGUGACCUUUCCCCUGGUUCUCUAGAUAUAAUUGGGACCCAAAUUGUCCGGUGUCAUGAGCUGACAGCAGGGAUGAAGGAGGGGUCUGUUCUCGGUGCCCGAGGGGACUCCGGGAGAGGGAGAGGGCAGCCCACUACCUGUGUGGGGGCUGCAUGGGGACGAGCCAGGGUCGCCCACAAAGGCGCUUUCUGUGGAGGGGACGUCACCUCUUCCAUCAGCGAUGACACAGCUCUGAGAUCACAGUGUCCUCACAAUGGCUCCUGUUAACUCCCUGCUGCCCGUCCUGCCAGGCUGGUGCCAUGAGACCCUCGGGGCUGGGCCAUGGGACAGGUGCCUGCCCAGCCCUGCAAACACAUCCAGCAGGUGUUGAGGGCUGCCAAGCACAGACUCCUACUGCCAGCCAUGCACAGCGCCAGCUGCGACAGCAACGCCUCUGCCGGGAGACGCGGAGGAGACCGGCCCCGACGCCUCCUGUCCCGGGGGGCUGCUGCACACUCAGGCAGGAUGCAGGGGUCCUGAGGGGGACCCUCAGCCACCUACGGCUCCCGUGGCCAGUCUGGUCCUGGUAUUUAUCUCAACUUCAUUGUUGUCCAGAAGCUGCUUUUUAUUAUUUGUGACCAUAAAAGGAUGUAAAUAAAUUCCUGUUUUGAGUCCAAACUACCUGGGUCCACCAGGCCACAGAGCAGGGACACGGCCUCAAUGUGGAGUCAAUAAGCCAAGGUUGUGAGAAGAUUCUCAGGAGUGGGGUCCAGGAAGGGAGAACUGAGGGCUGGGGUUUCAGGGGGCAUUUUACUUUUCAUUCCAGGCAGCGCUGUAUUGGCUGGGGUCUCAAAUGCUGAAUAAUGCUCCUGUUGGACUUCAGUAAUUUAAAAAAAUAAAACUGUUUAAAAAUC
rnacentral:antisense_RNA from 1 species